UGGCUCAGAUUGAACGCUGGCGGCAUGCUUUACACAUGCAAGUCGAACGGCAGCACGAAAGAGCUUGCUCUUUUGGUGGCGAGUGGCGAACGGGUGAGUAACAUAUUGGAACGUACCGAGUAAUGGGGGAUAACUAUCCGAAAGGAUAGCUAAUACCGCAUACGCUUUAAGAAGGAAAGUGGGGGCUCUUCGGACCUCACGUUAUUCGAGCGGCCAAUACCUGAUUAGCUAGUUGGCGGGGUAAAAGCCCACCAAGGCGACGAUCAGUAGCGGGUCUGAGAGGAUGAUCCGCCACACUGGGACUGAGACACGGCCCAGACUCCUACGGGAGGCAGCAGUGGGGAAUUUUGGACAAUGGGCGCAAGCCUGAUCCAGCCAUGCCGCGUGUCUGAAGAAGGCCUUCGGGUUGUAAAGGACUUUUGUUAGGGAAGAAAAGGAUAGUGCUAAUACCAUUAUCUGCUGACGGUACCUAAAGAAUAAGCACCGGCUAACUACGUGCCAGCAGCCGCGGUAAUACGUAGGGUGCGAGCGUUAAUCGGAAUUACUGGGCGUAAAGCGAGCGCAGACGGUUUAUUAAGCAAGAUGUGAAAUCCCCGGGCUUAACCUGGGAACUGCGUUUUGAACUGGUAAGCUAGAGUAUGUCAGAGGGGGGUAGAAUUUCCACGUGUAGCAGUGAAAUGCGUAGAGAUGUGGAGGAAUACCGAUGGCGAAGCAGCCCCCUGGGAUAAUACUGACGUUCAUGCUCGAAGGGGUGGGUAGCAAACAGAUAGAAUACCC
rnacentral:rRNA from 1 species